rnacentral:misc_RNA from 1 species
CCCUGAUCCUGAGAUUGAAUGCAUGAAAACGAAGCCAACGAGCAAGUAGAUUUAAGCCGCCCCAUCUCGUCAACCUCAGCUCGGCCCAUUACCACUCCAAUCCGCUCCCGUGAAAGAAGAUCUACUCCAUUUUCCAGUGGGCUAUAGAGUCCAAGCCGACGAUAACAACAGUCAGCUACUGUACAGGAGUAGGUUGGGGAACAUCAGAACACUAAGUCAUCUUCGCCGUUCGUGCAAGAUAUUUACAACUCUGAUGUUCGAUGAAGCCCCAUCCCUUGAAUAAUUAUGAAUUUGGUUGUUUGCAUGAGACCGGACACAAAGCGGACAUUUCCGUGACAAGCAUGACGGUCGCCACCAACCAGGGUACGGUCGGCCUCUCAAGUAAUUCUGCAUUGGCGUCGCGAUAGAGGGCUGGACACCGGAACAGCGCUCAUCCAAAUUUAAGACAAAACUGAUGAAAAUGAUGAAACGGAGGAAACCGAGGGGAGGAAAACCAGACCCAAGUGUGUGCAAAGUUAACAAGGCGCUCCGUCAGCGCCGUUAUAAAGAAACCAUGAACAUCAACUUGUACGAGAGACUCUUUUCUUUCAUCGAAAACAUGGAUAGGUAGUAGUACGUAUACAUGUUCCAAGAGUCGGAGAGCAUUUCGCAAAUGCCCUUAUCUAGUGAGACACGUACCAACGUGUGAUUUCAAGCACCACUUUCCAGGAGGUAGUUUCCAUCUCCCAACUUCCAUCUUCAAUGACCUUAGCGACGGAGGGGUAGAUGUGGAAAGAAACUUGCAUUUUUUUCCCAUAUUGGGCCACUUACGACUUUGAGUGUUGCUUUCCAUGCACCUACCAGCAUGUACAUCAAGCUUCACUGACCGUCUGACUAACACCACGAGCUCCUGAGCGUCAGUGUCGACAUUAACGUGCCAGGUUACGAGUAGCCACGAUGUUUUGUAAACGACGGUAAUUCGGGACUAUAGUCAAGGACAUGGUGCAGCAUUUACUCUCAAUUAGUGAUGCCGCACACACCGAUCUCAUGGAAACUGUUGAGUCUGUCUUCGAA